GUAGGGUGCGAGCGUUGUCCGGAAUUACUGGGCGUAAAGAGCUCGUAGGUGGUUUGUCGCGUUGUUCGUGAAAACUCACAACUCAAUUGUGGGCGUGCGGGCGAUACGGGCAGACUGGAGUACUGCAGGGGAGACUGGAAUUCCUGGUGUAGCGGUGGAAUGCGCAGAUAUCAGGAGGAACACCGGUGGCGAAGGCGGGUCUCUGGGCAGUAACUGACGCUGAGGAGCGAAAGCGUGGGGAGCGAACAGGAUUAGAUACCCUGGUAGUCCACGCCGUAAACGGUGGGUACUAGGUGUGGGUUUCCUUCCUUGGGAUCCGUGCCGUAGCUAACGCAUUAAGUACCCCGCCUGGGGAGUACGGCCGCAAGGCUAAA
rnacentral:rRNA from 1 species